GGACUCUGAUUGCAGGCACACUUUCACACCGGUGGAGGGAUCAGAGCGGCUUCGCGAGAUGACUUAACCUCGUUUGUCUCGAAUCAGCAUAAUAGCAGAGCGAUUGAGGAAAGUGCGCGCAAUUACGCUAGGCUUUUGUCUCAGAGCGGACAACAUUACUCAGCUGGUGAGCCCCGGCGGCAUUUCGGAGCUUUGUGGCGUCUGAUGAUAAGAGUGAGAAGAGUUGUGUGGUCUUGACAGCUGUUUGGGCAGGUGUCACCCGCCGUGUGUGAACGUCGACUGUCGGAAUUUCUCCCACAAGCUGCUUCCUUUCAAAACCCGCCCUCUGCAAAAUGAUUACGCAAUGAUUGGAGGUACCACCGUUUUCUGUGUCUUUGAUUUUCACGAACUGUGGGUUUGGGAAUCCCUUUGAGACCCUUUUGUGUGUUUAAGGGCAACUUGACUUGAACUUGUUUCUGCGUUGGCCCAUCAAAAUCAUGCUUGACGUGGAACGGCAAGACUGCAUACUUUGACCUCAUCGCUCGCCAUGGACAUGAAUAAUUGAGGGCUUCCCGUGGUCGACCCGAAGCUCCUGGAAAGACAACGAUGAGCAGAAAAGUCCAGUCGUUAUGGCACGGAGCCAGAAUGACAAUUAGGUCCAGGAAAUAUGGACAGGCUCGCACAAGAUUUGAAUGCGAUUUCCUGGAGUGUGGAAUUUGAUGGUACGUGGCUUAAAAAAAAAAAACCCAAAACAAACAAUUCAAGACUUUUAAUGCCCCAGGUCUUAAACGGCUCUUAACCUCCUCAUGAACCAGCCUUGAUUGAAUCUUGAAUGAAACAAAGACGAGCCUGAUCUUCACGAUGUGAACCCCCUGCGAGGAUAAUAAAGAUCACCGGAGCCCAUUUGCACCGUAUUCGGAGCUGUGCAUUCUCGAUGCCGGUUUCAUAACUGUUCCUUGACAUAGUAAAGCAGCCCUUCCGCGAUACACGGUGAUGUAAGGCAAACUGUUUUCUGUGUCUUCUGUCGCAGCGUCGCUUUCUUACAAAGCAUCCAGUUUGUCACUCGGAAUCAAAUCAUGGGCGGAUUCGCAAUUUAGCCACCGAGCACUUCCACUCAGCUGCAAAUUAGGACAGUUUGUGCAACGAGGUCACUGGAAAUGGGUUAGCGAUGUCACCGGGCAACGAAACGGAAUUUCAUAUUGACCGCGAUUGAGAAAGAUUGUUUGUUUCCUUCCAUUCUUUUUCCAUGUGCCACCUGUUUGUUUUGCAUGACGAGCAAAUGUUUCCCAAUGAUGCCGCUUUGCCGCACGAGCAGCCCAUGAGAGACGUGUGACGGAGUAGCUCAUCGCCGGCAAAGUUUCCAUGAACGAAGUGACUCAUCUGGGAUGUCAAACACAGCAUCGCUCUGGGGCUGCGCCACUCAACGUGUACAAUGGUGAAAGUCUUCAUCAAGCCAUCUGCUAAGAGGUUUGUUUUCUAUCCCUCCCCCCCAAAUGUGUCAUUAUCCCGGAGGAAGCCAGGAAGAGUAUUCAAUCACGGCGUUUGUCAACCCUGCCAACAUAUACAAUCAGUUAAGAACGUGAUCCCGAAGCCUGUAUUCGACAUUUAAAUUCAAACACAAGAUGACACCAAAAAAAAAAAAA